rnacentral:rRNA from 1 species
GACGAACGCUGGCGGCGUGCCUAAUACAUGCAAGUCGAACGAACCGCGACUGAGUGCUUGCACUUGGUCAAGGUGAGUGGCGAACGGGUGAGUAACACGUGGGUAACCUACCUCAUAGUGGGGGAUAACAGUCGGAAACGACUGCUAAUACCGCAUAGGACAUGGAAUCACAUGAUUCUGUGAGGAAAGGUGGCGCAAGCUAUCGCUAAGAGAUGGACCCGCGGUGCAUUAGCUAGUUGGUAGGGUAAGGGCCUAGCAAGGCGAUGAUGCAUAGCCGACCUGAGAGGGUGAUCGGCCACAUUGGAACUGAGACACGGCCCAAACUCCUACGGGAGGCAGCAGUAGGGAAUCUUCCGCAAUGGACGCAAGUCUGACGGAGCAACGCCGCGUGAGUGAAGAAGGUCUUCGGAUCGUAAAGCUCUGUUGUUAGAGAAGAACAGCGCAUAGAGUAACUGUUAUGCGUGUGACGGUAUCUAACCAGAAAGCCACGGCUAACUACGUG